rnacentral:rRNA from 1 species
ACGAUAACGGCGUCGAGCGGCGGACGGGUGAGUAAUGCCUAGGAAAUUGCCCUGAUGUGGGGGAUAACCAUUGGAAACGAUGGCUAAUACCGCAUGAUGCCUACGGGCCAAAGAGGGGGACCUUCGGGCCUCUCGCGUCAGGAUAUGCCUAGGUGGGAUUAGCUAGUUGGUGAGGUAAGGGCUCACCAAGGCGACGAUCCCUAGCUGGUCUGAGAGGAUGAUCAGCCACACUGGAACUGAGACACGGUCCAGACUCCUACGGGAGGCAGCAGUGGGGAAUAUUGCACAAUGGGCGCAAGCCUGAUGCAGCCAUGCCGCGUGUGUGAAGAAGGCCUUCGGGUUGUAAAGCACUUUCAGUCGUGAGGAAGGCGGCGUCGUUAAUAGCUGCGUUGUUUGACGUUAGCGACAGAAGAAGCACCGGCUAACUCCGUGCCAGCAGCCGCGGUAAUACGGAGGGUGCGAGCGUUAAUCGGAAUUACUGGGCGUAAAGCGCAUGCAGGUGGUUUGUUAAGUCAGAUGUGAAAGCCCGGGGCUCAACCUCGGAAUAGCAUUUGAAACUGGCAGACUAGAGUACUGUAGAGGGGGGUAGAAUUUCAGGUG